GCCCGGUCAUCUAUUGGCCGAGAGUAUUCUGGCCUCUCGAGCCAGGGGCCCGGGUUCAAAUCCCGGCCGGAGCACCA
rnacentral:tRNA from 1 species